GACGAACGCUGGCGGCGUGCUUAACACAUGCAAGUCGAGCGGUAAGGCCCUUUCGGGGGUACACGAGCGGCGAACGGGUGAGUAACACGUGGGUGACCUGCCUUUAGCUCUGGGAUAAGCCUGGGAAACUGGGUCUAAUACCGGAUACGACUCCGCGGUGCAUGCUGUGGGGUGGAAAGCCUUGUGCGGCUGGAGAUGGGCCCGCGGCCUAUCAGCUUGUUGGUGGGUGAUGGCCUACCAAGGCGACGACGGGUAGCCGGCCUGAGAGGGCGACCGGCCACACUGGGACUGAGACACGGCCCAGACUCCUACGGGAGGCAGCAGUGGGAAUCUUGCGCAAUGGGCGAAAGCCUGACGCAGCGACGCCGCGUGAGGGAUGACGGCC
rnacentral:rRNA from 1 species